rfam:Acetobacterium wieringae strain DSM 1911 ACWI_contig000060, whole genome shotgun sequence.
GGGCUUGUAGCUCAGGUGGUUAGAGCGCACGCCUGAUAAGCGUGAGGUCGGAGGUUCAAGUCCUCCCAAGCCCA